rnacentral:misc_RNA from 1 species
GCGAUCGCGACGGCGCUGGCGGCGGGGGUGCUGGUGACGGCGGGGUUCCACGUGUCCGGCGGGCACCUGAACCCGGCGGUGACGGUGGCGCUGCUGGCGCGGGGGCACAUCACGGCGUUCAGGUCGGCGCUCUACGUCGCCGCCCAGCUGCUGGCUUCCUCCCUCGCCUGCAUCCUCCUCCGCUACCUCACCGGCGGCAUGGCGACCCCGGUGCACACUCUGGGCUCAGGGAUAGGGCCCAUGCAGGGCCUGGUCAUGG